CGAACGGGUGAGUAACACGUGGGCAACCUGCCCUCAGCUCUGGGAUAACUCCAAGAAAUUGGGGCUAAUACCGGAUAUGACUGCUGACCGCAUGGUCUGGUGGUGGAAAGAUUUAUCGGCUGGGGAUGGGCCCGCGGCCUAUCAGCUUGUUGGUGGGGUAGUGGCCUACCAAGGCGACGACGGGUAGCCGGCCUGAGAGGGUGACCGGCCACACUGGGACUGAGACACGGCCCAGACUCCUACGGGAGGCAGCAGUGGGGAAUAUUGCGCAAUGGGCGAAAGCCUGACGCAGCGACGCCGCGUGGGGGAUGACGGCCUUCGGGUUGUAAACCUCUUUCAGCAGGGACGAAGCGAAAGUGACGGUACCUGCAGAAGAAGCACCGGCCAACUACGUGCCAGCAGCCGCGGUAAUACGUAGGGUGCAAGCGUUGUCCGGAAUUAUUGGGCGUAAAGAGCUCGUAGGCGGUUUGUUGCGUCGGCUGUGAAAACCUGAGGCUCAACCUCAGGCCUGCAGUCGAUACGAGCAGACUAGAGUGUUGCAGGGGAGACUGGAAUUCCUGGUGUAGCGGUGAAAUGCGCAGAUAUCAGGAGGAACACCGGUGGCGAAGGCGGGUCUCUGGGCAACAACUGACGCUGAGGA
rnacentral:rRNA from 1 species